rnacentral:rRNA from 1 species
UUGACCUCAGAUCAGGUAGGGAUACCCCCUGAACUUAAGCAUAUCAAUAAGCGGAGGA